rnacentral:lncRNA from 1 species
UUUCUUAACCUUUCCCUCUACCCUCUUGCUCUUACAUUCUUCUAGUUCUCUCCUCUUUUUUAUUUUUUAAUCUUUAAUAACUUGAGUAUUUCUUAUUUACAUUUUGUUAUUCCCCUUCCCAGUUUCUGGGCCAACAUCCCCUAACCCCUCUCCCUCCCCUUCUAUAUGGGCUUCCCCUCCCCAUCCUACCCCCAUUGCCACCCUCCCCCCAUCAAUCACAUUCACUGGGGGUUCAGUCAUGGCAGGCCAAGGUCUUCCCCUUCCACUGGUGCUCUUACUAGGCUAUUCAUUGCUACCUAUGAGGUUGGAGCCCAGGGUCAGUCCAUGUAUAGUCUUUGGGUAGUGGCUUAGUCCCUGGAAGCUCUGGUUGCUUGGCAUUGUUGUUCAUAAGGGGUCUCGGGCCCCUUCAAGCUCUUCCAGACCUUUCCCUGAUUCCUUCAACGGGGUCCCGAUCUCAGUUCAGUGGUUUGCUGCUGGCAUUCGCCUAUGUAUUUGCAGUAUUCUGGCUGUGUCUCUCAGGAGAGAUCUACAUCCGGUUCCUGUCAGCCUGCACUUCUUUACUUCAUCCAUCUUGUCUAAUUGGGUGGCUGUAUAUGUACGGGCCACAUGUGGGACAGGCUCUGAAUGGGUGUUCCUACUGCCUCUGUUCUAAAUUUUGCCUCCCUAUUCCCUGCCAAGGGUUUUCUUGUUCCCCUUUUAAAGAAGGAGUGACGCGUUCCCAUCUUGGUCAUCCUUCUUGAGUUUCAUGUGUCCUGUGCAUUUAGGGUAAUUCAAGCAUUUGGGCUA